ACCCACCCACAUCCAUGGCAGAUAACAAGCAGAGCCAGGACUCCAACCUCCUAGAGUCCAUCGCUGAGACACUGCUGAGUGGGCUGGACAGGAAGUGGGCACCACCAGUGGACUAGCAUGGAGGGUGAGGCGCAGCAGAGGGGACCAGCCAGCAGCCUGAGGCCACACUGGGGCAAAGCCCAUGUCCGAGCAGUCUUCUCCGGUGACUACUCCACAUCUGUUACUUGGACCUUAGGCAAGGGUGAAAAAGUUAGAGGUGUUGUAAUCUCUGUCCUCCGGGGCUCCCCUGUAGCUCUGGGCCUGCGUGCAUUGUCAGCGCAGCAGAGGUGUGGGACAGGUGUGGCCAGGUGA
rnacentral:lncRNA from 1 species